GGGCAGCGAGAUGACUGUGAAAGUCUAGUGACGUUGUUUUACUGUGUUCCCAUUCGGUAAGAUGCCCACAGCAUUGGGAAACCAUUCUCCACUUCAUCAGCCACGUCUUCAGCUGCAACCCCAAGAGUGUUCAGAGACAGAUCAGAGUUCAGUGGUUCCUCAAGAAGUUAAACACAGAGUUACCACACGGCCUGGCAGUUCUACUCCCGAGUGUAUACCCCAAAGAAUCAAAAACAGAUGUUCAAAGAAAAGCUCAUACACAGAUGUUCACAGCAGCACUGUUCACAAUAUCCAAAAGGCGGAAGCAACCCAAAUGCCCACCGACAGAUGCGGGCAUAAAGAAAGUGUGGUCUACCCGUUCAACGGAGCAUCAUCCAACCACAAGAAGGCGCGAACUCCGAACACGUGCCGCCAUGUGGACGGAACUGGAAACAUGCUGCUGCGUGAAAGCAGCACACAGAGGGCCAUGCACUGUAUGAUUCCACUUAUACGAAGCGUCCAGAAUAAGCAAAUCCACAGAAACAUGCCAUAGUGAGCGCGUCCAGUCCUAGCUGCACCGCUAACUUGCUGUUUAACUUUGGGCGAAUCACUGAAUCUCUCUGUGCCUAUGAACUGGGCAUGAUGAUAAACAAGCUGUUCUAUAGUGUUACUGGGAGAACCAAACAAGCUAAGACUUGCAAAGCACGGACAGUCACGCCAGUUCAGGGUGGUGUUGAUGCUGCUGUCUGGGGGACCCCACUCUGACAACCGUGGCUCUGGGGGUCGAAGAAGGUGCACCUGCCUGUCUCCCAGGACUGCAGGGGCAGUUGACCACUCGAGAGAGCAGGUGUAGGAUGGGCCUUGGGACCAGUGGGCCUCAACCUUGGCUACACGUGGAAGGAGGAGUUUGCCAGUUCUACGAACAAAACUGGGCCCCUCCCCCUGGUCUAACAGGUGAGUCUAGCAAGCAAGUGGCAAAGGCUUAAAGUCAGGACAAAAAUCUAUGCUGUGGAGCAGCCGUGCAGGCCACCCUUAGCCUGUGUUAGAAUGACCUUGCAACCCACACCUCAUGACCGAGGACGCCAGCUGGACGGAUCUGCGAGGAGAGAUAAAGGGCGCCUCGCUCUCACGUUUCCCAGCUGCAUUUCUUAGAGACUCAGGGAAUAACGGACGACCCUGGUCCUUGCCCCCCUCCACAUGUACAUAACAGCAGCACUGCUGAACUUGUUUGAACAAAAAGCUAAUGUUCUUAUUCUCUUGAAGCAGAUGACUAUUAGAUGUGUAAGCCCUUUCCUGCACGGACGCUGCUUCGUGAAAAGCUUAAACUGCAUCAGAUUGCAGACCUCGGAGCAGCUCCCCAGAACGCUCUGUUGGAGUAUUUCCUAGGUCUCAAGUUCCUCACCUUGAUUAUCAAAUAAACUCCUCU
rnacentral:lncRNA from 1 species